ensembl:lncRNA
UUAAAUUUUAAAAUCUUUAAUUCUUACAUGCAUUUUUAAACAUGACAAAUUAACCCUGUUGUGGCAGGAUGAUAGGCCAGCCAGAUGGAGGACAUGGGAGGAGUAUCUUCUACUUUGAGGUUAACAGGACAUGAUACAGUUCCAUUGAAAAGUAAGAAAGUAAGUAAAAGUCAUACUCAUGAUCUUAGCGAGUCAGCACCAACCUAUAGAGACAAGAGCAUGAAUCUGACCACCAUCGGUGCUGUAAUGGUUAGAGAAGAGCAAUCCUGGUAAACUUGGGCAGUGAUGAUAAGAGGAAAGGACUGGUCCUGUAAUAGAGGCUGAUAGGACUGCAGGUGCUUCAUGAAAUAGCGUAAAUACAUGGGAGUGUUGAAUACUGAAAAAGGCAGAGCCUGUGCUAGAACAGGAAGAACUUAGAGAUCACAGGAGAGGCCAGAACUGUAACUACACACUCUGAAAGCAGCAAGUAAAAUUAUAAAAGAACCAAGGUUAUUUCUGUUAGAAAAUUUUUAGGAGGCAACACACAUGAUACCAUAGGUAAUUACACAGAAAUUCUUGUGCUGUGUGCUCAGCCACGAAGUCAUGUCCAGCUCUCUGUGACCCUUGAGUGGAGGCUGCUGGGCUCCUCUGUGCAUGGAAUUUCCCAGGCAAGAAUACUGGAGUGGGUUGCCAUUUCCUCUCCCAGGGAAUCUUCCCGACCAGGGAUCAAACCCGCGAAGCCUGUUUCUCCUGCAUUGGCAGGCGGAUUCUUUACCACUGAGUCACCAUAACUAAAAAUAGUUACCCGCUUUCAAUAGUAGAGUAUGUUAUGAAUCUUAAGUCAGGUUUGUGGAAUACUAACUAUUUCUGACAAAAGGCUAUAGGAGUCUGAAGCCAUUCUUAGUGAUCCUCACAGUGUCCCCUUAGAAGUAUUUACAAGUCAGAUGCCAUCUCUAUAUGGUGUCUCCAAAUGUGUCAUUCCUGGAGAGACAGGAGGGUGACUCCGAUGUCCUUCCAUUGACUAGCGGGGACCUGUUCGCUUUGAUCAAGCCUUACAUUGUGUUUUAGGUCUCCACAUCUUUUCUAUUACAGUUACUCUGGUCCUUUUUUAGUAUUAAAAGUCAGUAAAAAUGUGCUUGAUUUUUCCCUUUAGAAUGUUUUUUCAUCUUAACUGUUAGUCUCCACAACCAACAAAGCAGAUGGAAAAUCACCUUGACAAUUUUAAGUCAGCAUAGAUCCAAGAACUGAUUACUUACCUCACACAGGAAUAUCCUUUCACAAGCUCUUAAGUUUCUAAGUUGACACUGUUGGGAAGAAUUUAUGAUUAUGAAAUCAGUAAUGAAAUUCUCAGCAGCAUUAUUUUGUAAGCAGUGUGCCCUGAAUUUUUUCCCCAACAGUUUUAUUAUAAAAUUUUUCAAGCAUAUAAAAAAGUUAAAAUUUUAUAGUAUACUCGUCACCCAGAUGUUAGCAUUAACUAUGCUUUGUCACCUAUCCAUCCAUCAGUUCACCACUUCAGAUUGUUUCUGAUGCAUUUUAAAUGGA